AAAUUGAAGAGUUUGAUCAUGGCUCAGAUUGAACGCUGGCGGCAGGCCUAACACAUGCAAGUCGAGCGGUAGCACAGAGAGCUUGCUCGGGUGACGAGCGGCGGACGGGUGAGUAAUGUCUGGGAAACUGCCUGAUGGAGGGGGAUAACUACUGGAAACGGUAGCUAAUACCGCAUAAUGUCGCAAGACCAAAGUGGGGACCUUCGGGCCUCAUGCCAUCAGAUGUGCCCAGAUGGGAUUAGCUAGUAGGUGGGGUAACGGCUCACCUAGGCGACGAUCCCUAGCUGGUCUGAGAGGAUGACCAGCCACACUGGAACUGAGACACGGUCCAGACUCCUACGGGAGGCAGCAGUGGGGAAUAUUGCACAAUGGGCGCAAGCCUGAUGCAGCCAUGCCGCGUGUGUGAAGAAGGCCUUCGGGUUGUAAAGCACUUUCAGCGGGGAGGAAGGCGGUGAGGUUAAUAACCUUGUCGAUUGACGUUACCCGCAGAAGAAGCACCGGCUAACUCCGUGCCAGCAGCCGCGGUAAUACGGAGGGUGCAAGCGUUAAUCGGAAUUACUGGGCGUAAGCGCACGCAGGCGGUCUGUCAAGUCGGAUGUGAAAUCCCGGGCUCAACUCGGGAACUGCAUUCGAAACUGGCAGGCUAGAGUCUUGUAGAGGGGUAGAAUUCCGGUGUAGCGGUGAAAUGCGUAGAGAUCUGGAGGAAUACCGGUGGCGAAGGCCCCGGACAAAGACUGACGCUCAGGUGCGAAAGCGUGGGGAGCAAACAGGAUUAGAUACCCGGUAGUCCACGCCGUAAACGAUGUCGAUUUGGAGGUUGUGCCCUUGAGGCGUGGCUUCCGAGCUAACGCGUUAAAUCGACCGCCUGGGAGUACGGCCGCAAGGUUAAAACUCAAAUGAAUUGACGGGGCCCGCACAAGCGGUGGAGCAUGUGGUUUAAUUCGAUGCAACGCGAAGAACCUUACCCGGUCUUGACAUCCACAGAACUUUCCAGAGAUGGAUUGGUGCCUUCGGGAACUGUGAGACAGGUGCUGCAUGGCUGUCGUCAGCUCGUGUUGUGAAAUGUUGGGUUAAGUCCCGCAACGAGCGCAACCCUUAUCCUUUGUUGCCAGCGGUUAGGCCGGGAACUCAAAGGAGACUGCCAGUGAUAAACUGGAGGAAGGUGGGGAUGACGUCAAGUCAUCAUGGCCCACC
rnacentral:rRNA from 1 species